rnacentral:lncRNA from 10 species
AGACCUAUUACAUUCCUCAUCUUCUUACAGCCCAAGAGAAUAUAGACUCAAAGAUAAUGAUGCAGAAUCUAGAGUUCUCAAAUCUGGGAGAAAACCUCAGGCUCUGGGAUUUCCUGUAAGCCCUGCAACUUCUUUCUCUCCACUCCCCAGCCCAGAAAAGCUAAACCUCAUGAAACUUCAUUUAAUGAGAAGACUUGAGAAAUGAAACACUCGGACUUGGAAGUAUAUCGUGAAGAUUAUUUGGUCUUCUUUGGUUCAAAAUCAUACGAUGCUUCACUAUUACCAUUCAGAGCAUCACAGAAGAUUUCCAAGUAUCUUAGGCCAAGUGUGGUGGCUCACACCUAUAAUCCCAGCACUUUGGGAGGCCGAGGUGGACAGACUGCCUGAGCUCAGGAGUUCAAGACCAGCCUGGGCAACAUGGUGAGAUCUGUUAUACCUACAGCCUUUGUACUGGGGCUGAUCUCUGCUGAGAAUUGGGGAGCAGGAGUUCUUCCAUAGAGGCCCAAGUGACAACCCCUAACCCCGAGGCAGCCCUCCCUGCACAGAACUCACCUGCGUAGCAGUGCUGGGAGAGGGCCGCCAGCAUGAGGACCAUCAGCAACUUCAUGGUGAGGCUGCUGCUGUCGGUGUUCAGUCGCGGGUGGCAAGGAUCAAGGAAGCCGCUGUGGAGGCCCAUGGCUGAUGGCUCCUGAGUGAGGACCCCAAGCCAGACCGACUGCCUGUGUUCACAUCCCAGCUCCUCUGUUUGCUGACAGUGCCACGGUGGACAGGAGACUUAACGAUUUGUGUCCGCUUCAAAAUGGAAACAGUCAUAGAAUGGUUGUGACUCAUAAGUAAAGUAAAAAUGGUAAGGUACUGGGAACAGUGCCUGGUGCAGAGUCAGUGCUGUCUAAAUGUCAGUUGCUCAUCAUCUUUUCCUAUUGUUAAGAGUUGUAUUUAUGAUUCAACUCCUAGGACUACUAAGCUCAUCAUAGAACACUGGAAAAUUAGUCUGCCCUUAAUAUUCUCAAAAAUAUAUCACAAUAACCAUAGUUAGACAAAGCAAAAACAUUUAACUUGGAAAAUAAAGCACUGCAUUGUGAUCCAGGCUUUGGUAUCUUUUCUCUCAGUCCAUUUUAAAGAAUUUUGCUGAGCUCUAAUUGACAUAUAAAUUCUCUCCUAAACAGACCCUACAUACUGUCGUCCGAUGAAUCUUCCCAGAACUCAGCUCCAAAUGUGCUUCCACUUGCUUUUUAAUGUUCAGUAGAGCAGGAAUCAUAAUUAUGUAGCAGUUUGCUGUUUGAAAGGCACUGUUGAACCCUGUGACAACAUUCCUAGCAGCAACCUUAGCAGAAGGGUGACCGUAUUAUUUGUUAGCCAAACUCCAACAUUUUGGUGGCUGAAAAGAAACAUAAAAUCAAUGGGAUGCCAGGACAAUAACAUAACCCAGGACUGCUGUGGGCAAAUUAGCAUGAGUAGUCACUUCCCUAUGAUGUGGGCAUGUCAUUUCACCCCACCUAACAGAAAUGUGACACAGAGAUGUUAAGGCACUCACCUGAAAGAACACAGCUAGGAAGGGGCAGAAGCGGGAUAAAAAGCCAGAUGUUCUGGCUCCACAGGCUGCUCUCAACACUAUUUCCCUCCUUGGCUGAACACUGAGGGACCUGCACAUCAUGGUUCAGAUGAGUCCUGGUGUCCAUGACUCCCACUGCUGCCCUAUGAGAACUCUGGGUUGAUUUCUGCACAAGCCCUGGAGAAGAGUUUUCUGCUUGAGACCUUUGCUCCAAGUGGAUUCCCCUCCUCCUCUGCCCUUGCCUCAGCUGCUCUGGGUUGAAACACUUCAUUCCAAAAGCCACAUCAAAGAUGGCUAAUGCCUUGUGUUCUUUGCUGGCCCUGCAUCUCUGGGGACCUCCCUGUUCACAGGACCCUGUAUCUGUCCAUAGGCAGUUCCAUCUGACAUCUCCAGGACCCUCACCCUGACCCUUCCUCCCUGUCCCUGCUCAUUGAGCUCAUGGCUUGGGCACUUCUUGUUUGUAUUAUAGUGAUGAAAACUACUUAUUUUCCUUAAUUUACUAUUGUGUAACUCAUUUUCAAGAGCAGAUUUUGAUAUUUUACACAAAGAGUGUAUUGACUGUAUUUUAUGUUUUAUUACUAGAUCUAUUCAGGAAAAGGAACUCAUUUAAAAUUAAAGUUUUACGAAACACAGACAUCAGACGUAACACUUAAAUCAGACACCACUGUGUCUUCCUGGACAUGGUAAAUACAACACCAUUUGUACUUUCCUGGAGGGAAACUGGGGGUCAGGUAGGAAGAAGGUAGUGAAGAAAGAAGAUGGCUGGAAACCCUGCUAAUGAGAGCCUGGGCCACCUCAGUGUCCUUUUGCCCUAGAAGUGACUGUUAGUGUGACACCAUCUGACCAGGAUGUAUCUAAUGAGUUGGAACCUGGAACCGGAUUUGAAAGCAGAGACAAGGUCAAUGUCAGCCCCUGGCUAAUUCUUUCCCGUACCAAAACCCAGAAAUUAUACAACUCGCCACGUCCCCACAUUGUGUGUGGUUAAAAAUGUUAAUGCGCAUAUGCGAGAGGAAGUUUACCUUGGCUCAUCAGAUACCUUCACUAGUACCUUUGCCAGUGAGUUAGUAAUUUUCCCCUCCCUUCAAUGCCAACAUUAUCCCAAAAACAGUAGUCAGCCCACUGUCAUGAGCCUCUGUUACGCCAGGGCCUCAGGAGAGGCAUAUGGAGGAACUUAUACAAAGUAUCCCUGCUGCUGGAGCAAUGGGUCUCAGUGGGGACACUUUUUCACUUUCCCCACCCUGAAGAACCUUUCCCAAUAGUGGGUUUUGCUUGUCCCAACUGGAUGGGGGUGAGUGUCCUAUUGAGGUCAAGUGACAGAGGCCAGGAAUUAAACAUCAACUGAAACCUUCUUAACAUCUAACAAUGUUCAGGACAGCUGUCCACAAGAAUGAGAUAUUCAACCACAAAUAUUAAUAUUGCCAAUGCUGAGAAGCCAUGUAUGCAGAAAUAUUGAAGAGCCGUUCACCUGGUCACGAAAAAACAGCAGUGCCAGCCAGCCUCACACCCAGUGCACAGUGGAUGCAGCCCUACAUAUGGUAAGAAUGCCAGCAGGUGCCUGCCCUCCAAUGGGCUGGACUGUAUGUAAAUUCAUGCCCUGGCCGAGGCUGCUUCAUCCACCAGAAGGGCCUUACUUCCAUCCUUAGGUCUUCCUCAUCCUCUAGGUCCUUGUGAUGCUACUCAAUCAUCACCUCAUCCACAAACCUUUCCCGGAGCAUGUGAAGCUCAGAAGGAUGUUGUUCUUUGAUUUUCUAAAGGCCUUUAAUUUCCAUGAUGAAAUUUCAUUCUUAGAGAUAUUCCACAGGUCCUUCUUCAGUCUUCUGUCUCAUAUCCUGUUGUUCAACAUGUGAUUCAUUUUUAAAGGAAGUCUAUUAUUUGUUUUCAGAGUGUGACCUUGUCUAGCCUAUGAGGUAGACAGCAGGGAGAAGAGAUUUGAGGGAAACAUCUUAGGCACAGAUGAGUAAAUCUUGUCAAGGAAAACAGUUAAGAUGCCCAUGAGAGAGGCAGCAAGAGUUACAUAAAAGGAGCCAGGAUAAGUAAAUUCUUUGCACUUGGUAAAGCUAAAUGUACUUUCAUUUUUUGUACAGUUUGUUGACAGCUAGAGAUAUGUGGUCUUGGGAGGUGUCCGUGGUUCUAGAAGAGGAUGUCCAUUGGGGGUAAACAUGCAGGCCUCAUUCACUCCCUUUUGUAGAUCCUACCUGUUGCCAUCAGAUGCCCUCAGCCUGCCCAGUCUUACCUGAUCCCACCUCACACUCUUCAGCAGUAGCUCCUGGAGGAAUCAGACAGCAUAUGAAUCUAAUAUGAUUGUUUUUAUAACAAGGAAACCAAUGACAGACAUAUUUCCUUAUGUGAUUAGAAAUAUACACAUGUAAUCAAUAAAGUGAAGAGACAAUACACAGAAUGAGAGAACAUAUUUGCAAGCUAUUCCACUGACAAGGAAUUAAUAGCUAGAAUACAUGAGGAGCUCAAACAACUCAAUAAGAGAAAAUGUAAAAAUCCCAUUUAAAAAUGGGCAAAAGAUCUGAAUGAACAUUUCUCAAAUGGAGACAUCCAAAUGGCAAACAAGUAUAUGCUCAACAUUAUGGAUCAUCCCAGAAAUGUGAUACAAUGUGAUAUCCUCUCACCCCAGUUAAAAUGGCUUUUAUCCAAAAGACAGGCA